UCGAGAAUCUUCGGCAAUGGGCGCAAGCCUGACCGAGCGACGCCGCGUGGAGGACGAAGGCCUUCGGGUUGUAAACUCCUGUCGAGGGGGAACAAGAGGUGGUGCAGAGCCAUCUUUGAGUGAUCCCUGGAGGAAGCACGGGCUAAGUUCGUGCCAGCAGCCGCGGUAAGACGAACCGUGCGAACGUUAUUCGGAAUCACUGGGCUUAAAGCGCGUGUAGGCGGCCCGGCACGUCCGUCGCUGAAAUCCCCCGGCUCAACCGGGGAAGUGGCGUGGAUACGACCGGGCUGGAGGGGGGUAGGGGGAGCCGGAACUUCCGGUGGAGCGGUGAAAUGCGUUGAGAUCGGAAGGAACGCCCGUGGCGAAAGCGGGCUCCUGGACCCCACCUGACGCUGAGACGCGAAAGCCAGGGGAGCGAACGGGAUUAGAUACCCCCGUAGUCC
rnacentral:rRNA from 1 species